AGAACGAACGCUGGCGGCAUGCCUAAUACAUGCAAGUCGAACGAACACUUCGGUGUUAGUGGCGCACGGGUGCGUAACGCGUGGGAAUCUGCCCUUGGGUUCGGAAUAACAGUUGGAAACGACUGCUAAUACCGGAUGAUGACGAAAGUCCAAAGAUUUAUCGCCCAGGGAUGAGCCCGCGUAGGAUUAGCUAGUUGGUGAGGUAAAGGCUCACCAAGGCGACGAUCCUUAGCUGGUCUGAGAGGAUGAUCAGCCACACUGGGACUGAGACACGGCCCAGACCUC
rnacentral:rRNA from 1 species